GGUCUGUCACCGUCGCCACCCACGGUCCUGAAUCGGUCACCUGGGUUUACGGCCGUCCUUUCAGUUCAGACCCCAGCUCCGGCGAGCUCCGGGCUCCAGGACACCCCUGGGCUACGGCGGCGGCGGAGCGAGGCACAGCCCGGCUGGCUCCGAGCCCCAAGACUGAGUAGUUCUGGGAGGCCCAAGAGGCUGAGCGCAAGGGCAGAGGGUCCCAGAGGAGCUCAGGCUGCUUCCUGGGGACGCGCUCCUCCGCAGUGGAGGGCACCUGUGAGCUCACCUUUUCAGCGCACCUGAGCUGCAGUGUUCUGACACAGAGGGCCGGAGGGAGAUGUGGCCCACCUGCCUGUAGCAGCCCUGGCAAACGCUUGCUGGCCAGGACAGAGGAUCCUAGGGAUCAUAUGUGAAACCUGGACAAGCCUCCUCAGGGCCACUGUCAGCCACGGGGAGAGUCAGCGUGUGGAUUAACAGAGAGGGGUUUAUCCAGGUGAAGCCCCUGCUGUCGCCUCAAUUUGUGGUUUGGCCUGGAAUUUCCUUCAUGUGUUUGGGGAAUCAUGGUGGCCCUGCUGACCCCGCGUCCUCUCUGCUCUGCCCCCAAGGUCAGGCGAAUUAUUAUUAAAGCACUCAGCAUCACCAAGAGGCUGGGGUGAAGAUCAAGGCUGAAAUGUUGCCGUCUUAAGUUGGAGUUCAUUGCUGCCGGUGUGGGUCUCCCUGUGAAUACUGCGUGUAUUCAACUGCUGUGGACUGGCCUCCGCAUCCUCCGUGAAUGCUGGUGAAGCUGUUGCUCACAGACCUCUAAUUCUAACUAUCACCCCGGCAACGUUUGGUUUUGCUGUUUUGGUUUUGUUUUUGAGAUGACUUUGGCAACUGUUGUGGUUGGUAACUGAGGUUGCUUUUUAGAACGUCCAUUUUAGGAACUAAAUAACAAGUAGGCCAAGCCCAAGCUCUGAAAUGAAGUGAUUUUUCCCAAUGGAAACAGGCAGCAGUGGGCUUGGAGAAUGGUCAGGUCAGGCCUUGUGAGGGCUUGCAGUCUGGUUUGUGGAGCGGGAAAACUGGAGAAAGGAUGGGGAAUGAGGGAGAGAUGACUCUGGAAGGAGAGAGCUCACUGAAGGGAUCGGAUCCCAGAAAAGGGCAUCUCUACCUCUGUCCUCUGGUCCCACGGGCCUGCCAGUCUCUCAGGAUCAGAGGGUGGGAUGGAGAGUCAGUGAAGCAAUCCCUGGGCUGCCUGGGACCUGACGUGCAGGCUGGGGGUGCUGUCUCUGACUCUGGUGGUGGGAUGUCUCUGGAUGUUUUUUGGACAGCCUCACUGGUUAGUCGGAGAAGGCACUGGCUCCGCUCUCCAGUACUCUUGCCUGGAAAAUCCCAUGGAUGGAGGAGUCUGGUAGGCUGCAGUCCAUGCGGUCGCUAGGAGUCGGACAUGACUAAGUGACUUCACUUUCACUUUUCACUUUCAUGCAUUGGAGAAGGAAAUGGCAAACCACUCCAGUGUUCUUGCCUGGAGAAUCCCAGGGACGGGGGAGCCUGGUGGGCUGCCGUCUCUGGGGUCGCACAGAGUCGGACAUGACGAAGUGACUUAGUGGCAGCAGCACUGGUUGGUGCCUCAACAUCCUUCUCUUUGGUCUCAGUGACAUGUGACCUCACCUGCCUUUCUGGGUCCCUGGGUAGCCUCCAGCCAAGCGGGUUCCAGUGACAUAAGACUUGCAGGUUACUGGGACAUGUUGCCAUCCCUGGGGCCCCAUCACCUAGACUCCUCUGGGAAGGUCAGGGGUUUGCCUGAAGGUGAAACUGAACUCCUGCUGCUGCCUGGCCUAGCUGGAUGUUGGGUGGAGUCACCAGUUGGGUCACUGCAUGCUAAGGAAAGACCACUGCUCUGGUCAAGGAUGGGAAGCAGGCUGAAGCCAAGUUGGAGCCAGCAUAUGCCGAGAGGGACAAGACUGUUGUUUGAAAUCAGUAACCAGACUCAGGGACACCUGGGCUGGUGGGGUCCCAUGGUCCCUGUUCCGGUAUCAUGGCAUGGGGUACUUGGCCUGUGAGGUUACACUUGGAGGGACACUGGGGCCCAGAAGUUGUGACAGGCAGCAAGGCUGGGUGGGUGUAUGUUCAGUUAAUGAAGAGGCACCCCAACCCACCCCACCUGUGGCACGUUGGAGAACUACUUCAUGGACGGGUCUGGAACUUGGUGAGGCCAGGGCAAACGAACUCGGUCAGGAAGGGCUGGCUGCUUUUUAAUCGCAUGUCCUAAGGUUUAGGACGCACUCGUCAAGUGGGGUGCAGGAUUAUGUUAGAUAGCACAGGGGUGUGGUAUUAAACAGCAUUGAAUCACACGAUGCAAAAAUUACUGUCUUGUAAUCACCUUUAAUUAUUCUGAUGAUGGCAAGAAGAAACAUUGAUUUUGGUCCUGGGUCAGUUCGGAUCCUCUGAGAAGCACGUGCAAGAGAUUUAUGGGUAGAAAUGCCUGUGAUGGAGAAAAGGCAUGGGAGCUGGAGUUGCUGGAAGAGCUUUAGGUAUCAGUGCAGGUCUGACACCUCUAAGAGGAGAGGGGGAAGGAAGGACUUGGUAAGAAGCACCUCUAACUAAAAAUGUCUCAUCCAGGCCAGUGGGGCGGUGGUGGUGGGGAGCAUUGUCAGAAGAGCCCCUUCAGGCAAGAUGUGUGCAGAUGUGUGCGCAGCGCUGGGCUCAGAGGAUGGUUAAAGGGUCAUCUGUCUGGGGCUGGGGCUGGUGACCCUUUACACAGGGCUCCUGAGGCCUGGAGGAAGGGGCAGCUGCCAGGGUUGAAGUCCACAGCAGACUCAUCUCUCCUUGGAAGACCCCUGCCUAACCCCCAGCCCUAGCUAACUCUUUCCCUCCGGGCUUUCUCCUGGGUGGGUGAGACCAGGCAGCCUCCAGCUGUUUUCUGAUGGCUUUGAUGGGUGCCUCAGAUUCAGUCUUCCAAGGAUGAGAGUUACACCCUCCGAGUCUGGGCCAAGGUCAGAGCCCAGGGUCUCAGCCAGACCCCCUUGAAGCCAGUGCUUUGUGUGGUUUUUGGUAUCAGUUUAUGCAUGUCCUGGGCAGCCUAUUGUGGCAGGAUCUUUUCUCUCUAGUUGUCUUUGGACAACAGUUGUCUCUGUCUAGUUUCCACAGGAGUUCCUACUACCCCAUGCUAUCUUCUGUGGUCCAUCCUUAGGGGCAGAUCCAGGUUUUGUGGAGCCUGCAGCUGUUACAUCUUAGGGGCCCUCUCUGAGAACAACAGCACAAAAUUAGAUUUUAAAGUAAAUAUUUAUUUAGAAUGAGAAACUGAAUCAAAAGAAAUUUUAAAAAGCUGACCAAGAUCUAAAAAUACAAGAAAACAAUCCAGACUGGCUUCUGGGGCCAUACCCUUCCAUCCUCACAUUCCUUGGUACCUGGUGUGGGGUGACAGCUCCAUACAGGGUCCCCUCUCUGAUCCUGCACCUUUGGGUCUAGACUCCAGUGAGCUGAGGCGGUGGGAGUGUUCCUGAGAUCCCCAGUGGAGAGGGCUGACAGUACCUUGCUUCCAAAGUAACUGGCAACCCCUUAGUUACAUGCGCUAACACUUGGAGGAAAUGUAUUUCUAAUUCAGCCUCCUCUUGGCUGGAUCACCCAAAUUUCCAUGGUUUCUUCAGCACCACACCACCCGAGGAAAAAUGUAACUGGGGAAUUUGGAGGGGAAAACAAUAGUCUUAGCUGUCGCUUUUGCAAACUUUAUAAACACACAACAGGUCAGCAUGAGCUGGGCGGGGGCCUGAAGCUUAAGCUUCAUAGCCUCAUGGUAAACCCAGCUGAAGCCAUCCUGAAUGUGUCCCUUGCCAGAGGCGACCCGUUAUCCUUAGAUCUUGCCUGAGUCAGUGACGUACAGUGGCUCCUACUGAGCUUUUUGAAAUAAAACUCAUUCCCCUUAAUUUUUAUUCUGGUUGUAAAAGUAGUAUUUGGGCAUUACUGAGAAAAUACAGACAAGGGUAAAGGAGACAGUGAAAGUCAUCCUGGAAUAAAACCAGUUGGCAAACAGUAACAAUUUAGAAUUUCACUCUUCUCCCAGCCCCUCCCAGGGGUUUGACAUGACAUUGAUGUUGACAGGUUGGAACAUCCAGACAUCAGCAUGUCAUGGGCUUGCAUUAAGUUCCUCCUUUCGGUCUGACUGGUUGCUCUAGAACAUUCUUGAUUGCCAGACUCCAUUAUUUUUCCUACCCAAAGCCCUUUAAGGCUCAGAUGAGGGCCUGACCAGAAGUUGUGGCACAGCUGGGGGUCUUGAUGAGCUAGAUGCCUAUUUUGGCUGCAGCACAUUUGAGAGGGUGGGAAGGGGUCUCUGCUUGUUCACAGACCCAGAUCUGUGAGCUGAAGGCUGGUCCUGCUUCCAACUCUGUCUCAGAUACCUGGUAUAGGGUGUGGGCAACAGUAGGGGCAGGGGAUUUACCACUAAGAAGAACUGGGAAGGGUCAUUAGGCAUAACCUUAGGGUUCAGGUGUGGCUGAGCCUUUGCCUGGAAGGUAUAAGGGAUGGCUCAGGUGAUCUGUAACCCCACCCAUGGCCGAGGGCAGCACUAGCUAGAAAGACUUGGUCUGAGUCAGCAAGAAACUCUGGGUUUGGGGCCUGCAGGGAGGCAUGUCUCCAACUCCUAUCAUCAGUAUAUCCUUUUCUCGGCUUCCCCAGAGUAAGCCUCCUGGGCAACCUGCAGGGAGGCUGGGCUGGGGCUGGGGAGCUUCAGCUCACUGUGCCUCCAGAUUCUGCUCCAGAGCUGGGGUCCCAGGUGGGCACUGAGGGGCUGACUGUCCUCUUAGGGGUUGAGUCCCAGCUCUGCGUGGACAGGCAUGCCUCCCUACUACCCUCCCAUCUCAAGGGCCAGGCUGCAGACCUGGUUCUCUUCUAGAGGAGACUCUUCCAUGGUGGCGGGACCCUGGCAGCUGGUCCGGGCUUCCCACAGACCCUGUCUUCAUGGACACAGAUCCUGAAGCCACUUCUUAAGCUGACAGGAGGUGGGAAAGAAGAGACAUCCUCUGACAACUUUUUCCAUCCCUGACUAGAAUGAGGCAGAAAAUCCAGGUUUACACAAUUUUGAAGAGUACUCUUUCAGAAAUAAUUAGAAAAUUAUUUCUAAAAGAUUAUUCCUAAUUUCCAUAAAAGAUAAUUAUGUUUUCAUUUUUUUCUUCCAAAGUUUUAACAAAACAAAACAAAAAAAACAACUAGGUUUCUCUCUCAUGAAAGUCCUGGGGAUCCCAGUUAUCUUAAUUUUGGAAAAGUCCCUCCCUACCGCCAGUCACUCCCGUUCUACAGCUGCCCCUCAGGCAGGACCCAGGGGAUGUGGGAGAUGGCUUUCAUUUCUCCCCUGUCCUUCCACCUCUGGGCGGUGUCAUCUUGUCCAAGAUUCUGGUCAGAGACUAUGGGCAGAAGGAACCAAGGAUGUGGGGUCAGGCCAGAGAAAGGGCCCCUGCCUGAAGAAACAGCACAUUGGUCAGGAAGAAAUCUGAGAGAAUGUCCUUGACGGCGAGGGAGGGAUGAAUAUGUCCAUCGCCUGAUUCAUGAGGAAAUGUGAUUAUUUUAAAAAAAAGUUUUAAGUGAGAGAACUGACGCUGUCCUUUAAGUGGCAUUUUAAAACCUAAAUUAGAAACUACAUUAGCAUUGCCAUUUGAUGCUGAGGCGCAAGAAAUUUGACCUGUUCCUUCCCUGGGGCUCAGGCUCCCAGGUCAGAAGUUAGGGGGUCUCCAUCUGGGAAGGUUUCUCCUAGGGAGUCAUGUGUGGUCCCUAUACCCCAGUGCUCCUGGGGAAGGGGCUUCUCCCACCACUCCUUAAGGAGGCAGCCUGCGGGCUCUCUGCGAGAUGGGAGACGUGGGCUGGAUGACUGGGCAUCAUCUGGCCCCUCUUUGAGAAAGCCUUUGAAAAUGACACCCCCCAAGAUACAGUGUUGAGUGGGUUUUCUCAACUGGAACCAAAGAGAGAAAACAGGAAGAUGCAUGGGAGUGUUAAGGGCACUUGAGAUACGCCAGUCCCCUGUCCAGCCUGGCUGGGUCUCGAGUUCAUCCGCCCAGGCAAGACUGGCAGUGUCCCGCGCCGCCCAUAAGCAUUGCUGAGCUGUGCGGUGGUGUUCUCGAGAGACCCACUCUAUUUCUCCUCAUGGUACCCCUUCUCCCCAAACCCUUCUGAAUCACCUGGGAGCUUUAAAAAUGCAGGUCCUGGCCUCAACCCCAGAGAUCUGAAUCUAGCCUUUGGAGCUGGGAGUGUGUGUGUGGGUGCACGCGCAUGUGUGUUUGUGUGUGUGUGUGUGUGUGGGAGAGAGAGAGAUGUCCUCAAGCGCUGACCAAGGCGCCCCCCUGCGUGUCCUGACACCGGUGAUCCUUGUGAGGCAGAUGGCAGUCAGACUGUCCAACAUGAACUGCCUCAGGGAGUGCUUGACAGAUUUAACAAAGGAAUCAAAUGAUCGGCUUUUGGGUUUCAGAAGUCGAGGCCUGGUUAGGUUUGGAGUAAGACAUGAUGAGGAAGGGGAAGGCUGGGGCCAGCACGCAUGGUGCCUUUGGGUGAACUGUAAAGAGGUGUCUUUCUUCUUGGCAGGGCAAGGGCAGAUUUUAGCCUCUGAGAGAGCCCUCACCCGCAGCAGGCCACACACAUACACACACACACUGCUCUGCCAUAUGGGGUAUUCCUGUGCAAAGGCAGAUUUCCCCAUCCCUGAAAUUGAGAGAUCUCCUUGAUCUUGGGGCAGGGUCUGGUCAGAGGUGAGGCGAGCAGAGCUGGUGGGGAGAUGAGGUGCUUAGAUGUUUGGUGGGUCCCUGGGAGGGGGCACGGGGCCACUCUGCUUUGGAACAGAGAACAGAAACCCAGAUAGUUUUGGGGAGCAGAGGGAGAGACCAGAUAGCUUUCUUAGGUAGAGCUCUAGGGAAGAGGCAGAGGCCCCAGGAUGCGGACGGCUCCCCAGCCCCACCGGGAGUGAGGCAGCAGAAUGGCUCCUGAGAGCUCACCUUAGCACCCUGUGGAGGAGCCGGGGGUGGAGUGUGGGGCACAGCUCACUUCCUCCGGCUCCGCAGUGGUUUGGAGACUGAAGGAGGGCUUGCGUGCCCAUGCUCUGAGAAGGCCACGAGAGUGGCAGGAGGUAUCUGAGGCCGGCUUUUGGAUGGGAAUGAGGGUCUGUGGAGCAGGGACUUGCAGGACUGACCUUUCAGAAGCAGAGAGAACGGUGGCGGUGGACAGAGGACCACCCACCUUCAGCUGCAGAACUGAGCGCCAGGACCGUAGGUGUGGGGACUCAGGACUGAGACUUCUGUCACUUCAGGGGACAGAGCCUCGCAGAGAUCAACUAAUGGGAAAAUAGCAUGACAUUCUAACCCACUUGAGUUUGUGGAUUAAGAAUGAUAGACUAUGCAAAGAAAAUCAUAAGUAAAUACCUCCUAAUAAUGAUCUCUCCAUGGUAGGACUAAGGGCAAUUUUCAUUUUCCUCUUUUUGAGUGCUGCAGCUUUGAAAAUUUCUCCAGUGACCGUGUUUGCUUUUUAAAUGAGAAUAAUAAUUUUUUUGAAAACACUAACUUGCUUUUUUCCCUCUCUCUCUUCUCUGGGGUUCUCAUUCCUUAAGUGCCUCAUCCAUCAUGCUUACUUCCACCCGUCUGACCUCCCCUCCUUGCCUGGGCCUGGUAGACAGUGGCUGAAGGUGGGGCUGGAGUCUAGGAAGGCAGUGGUUCUAGUCAGGAGUCCUAGAGUCAUGAUGACACUGAUGAUAUCACCACCAAGGACACUUUUCCGUCCUCUCUGCAACCAUUUAAGAGGGUAGCGGCCAGGGAUGUGGGGGGAGAGAUGCUCUCCGCAUUUUUCUGCCUCGGAGAGACUGUCUCUCCAUCCCCUAGGCAGGUUCAGGCUGAGCUCUGCUGAGCCAGACAGUGUGGGCUGGGCCUCUGCACUGUCCAAGCUCCCAAGUAGCACUCUGUCCCAAAAAUCUGCUCCUCAGGCCCCUCCAAGCCCUUGCUCAGAGUCUCACUCUGAAACUGCAGGCAGAAAAGGCCCACGCAGGCCAAUCAGGCCACUUCAAGAGAAAGGGAGAUGAUGACAAGCCAGUGGGGCCGGUUAAGGCAUCCCCGCCUGGGAGGGGGGCGUGGAUGAAAAUAGAACGGAGGCAGGAGAGGGGGUGGCUUAGUGAGCUGGAGGGCGAAACAUGCUGAUUAUUAAAGAGCGAAUUACCUGGGUCUAAUUACGAGUGCACUUAAACAUCACAUUGCCUCCUGAUACACAACGGAAGUGGCUCAGAUUCUAUCACGAAGAGUCAGAAAGGGUGAUAAAAAUAAAAGAUGGAUCUCAGCCCUGUGUCCUUCCCCUCUCUUCCUUCCUGCCCGUCAUUAGUUGUGGUAGGAAGAGGAAUGCCCACCCCCCAGCUGACUUGCUCAGCCUGGUGGGAGCUUGGAGCUUUCUCCCUGUCCUCUGUUGGCAGAAACUGCCUACAUAGGGAUGGCAGAGAUGGCACGAUGAGGCGUCCGUCUCAGGUGGUCCAAUGCCAGGACAUCCAGGAAGCUUGCUGUCCUCACUGGGGCGGGUUGUGAGCUCAGAGUUCUGCUCUCUUAUACCGGGUGGACCCUGACGUCCCAGGACAGAAAGGGAAGGGACCCUGCCUGUGGCCCUGUGCAAGCAUGACGUUUCCUCACUUCCAGGAAACUGGAGACCAAAUCCAAAUGAGGCCAUCCCUGGAGAAGGUUAUUACUCCAUCCCUUGUCAGUGUUUCUGGUCCCUUGAUUGAGUUUUCACUUUGUAAUAAUGCUGUUUAAUAAUGGUUAUGCAGCAGAAGAUAGAGUGGUGUUGAGUUCCUCAUCCCUACUCUUUUUCUUAGUGCCUGCAAUGUUUUAUCCCCCAUCUUCUCUACAUGUCCAAAUCUUACACAUCUUCCAAAGCUGGAUCAGCCCCGCCUCCUUGGUGCAGACCAGAGAGCUAGCAAGAACACUGGAUCAUGUGUCCCGGCCCCAUUCCUACUGCCCAUCAUUCAGGGCAGCCUCGCUCUGUGGACGCCCAAGGCCGCCUCCAGAGAGGACGCCAGACAGCGGGAGGGCAGUGCAUCCAGAGUCUCCCCGGGCUAUUAUGAGGUGGUCUUUGUUUAA